rnacentral:tRNA from 1 species
GGGCCGUUAGCUCAGUCGGUAGAGCAGUUGACUUUUAAUCAAUUGGUCGCAGGUUCGAUUCCUGCACGGCCCACCA